rnacentral:lncRNA from 10 species
AUCCUCGGGUGGACAUUUUGUUUGCUUUUCCAUUAAUCCACUGGUUUAGUUUCCAGAACGCAAUGUCAGACCUGAGGUGACAGAAAAGGGAAAACGUGAGAGAGUGUCUUCUUCCCUGAAGAGAGGUGGGCCUGAGGCUUGACAGUGGCGCUGCCUGAGUGACCUAGCCGCUGGGCUGGGCCCUGGACAGCUGAUCCCAGGUUCCUGCACUUGUCGCCACCCUUCCGUAGUCCACAGGCCUGAUGGCGGCGGCUGAGCCGAUGGGCCCGGCACAGGUUCCCAUGAACUCAGAAGUAAUUGUGGACCCUAUACAGGAACACGAGCUGAACAACUACUCAUGCAAGAAAGCACAUUCAUAAGAACCAGAAAACUAGAUGAGUGAUCGGAGUACCUGAUUUUAACAUAAUAUCAAGAAGAAAGGCAUUGAAGUGGGUAGGAAAGGUAGUCUUGCAUUGCUUAAACCACCCCUUUCCCAUCCCUUGGCAGACCAACAUGCAGAGAAAAAUCUGUGUGCUUGUAGAAGAGAGCACGAAGUGAGUGUGGGACUGCAUUGGAACCUGGUGCUGCCCAGGCACAGAAGAACACAACACGGCACAAUUCUACUUGUGCCCAUGGAGACAGCAUUUACACCAGCCUGGGGCCAGAAGCAAAUUCCUUUCAACCCCCGUGAAAGGAACCUGAGUCUCAGCUGGCACCACCAACAGCUGACCGAAGUGGCCUGGGGCCCAGAAUAAGUU